AAGUCGUAACAAGGUUUCCGUAGGUGAACCCUGCGGAAGGAUCAUUAUUGUAAUUUCCGGUCGUUACUGCUGGCACACACGCUGCCCUCGUGGUGGCAACUCUCAAACCCAAACUAGUCUGUGUAUGUGUAACUUUGUAAUAAAAUACAA
rnacentral:misc_RNA from 1 species